UGCAGAGCACAUUUCACAAUUUAAUGAAGAGGUAUGCUCUCAAUUCGUCAAGAAGUACAAGACCAUUAUACAUCCAUGAGAGGUACAUAUUCACCUUUCAUAUCGAUAGAAAUUCAAAAGUGGAUCCUUUAUUUUCUACAAGAAGUUACAAGCUUAUGCAAUUUUGUCCGGCUUUUCUUUUUGCCUUGAUUUUCUUUAGUUAUGGUCAUUGUUAUAUUUUGACUUGAACUUGAUUAUGUUGAUAAUGAUGAGAUAGUGGGGGUUGAUCUGAUCUAUGAUGCAUUUUAUAGAUGAAUAGAAUUACGGAAUUAUCGCAGAACUUUGAGAUAGUGGCUACUCAUACAGACAACCCUGACGUCCUCAUUUGGGAUGUUGAAAGUCAACCUAAUCAUCAUGCUAUCCUUGGAGUUAUGAAUUCUCACCCAGAUUUGGAAAAUUUUAAUGGUUAUCCAUUAAUAUUCUAGAUUAUCCCAUCUUUAAGUGCUAAGUGUAAUUUGUUACAUUAGUUAAUGAAGGAGAUCCAUGUAACAUUGGGAUGGUCAUCUUUUUUUAUGGUAUUUUUUUAUUGAGACAGAAUGAGAUAUUGGCCAAUGAUGUUGAAAAAUAAUACCCAAUUUUAUAGGU